GACGAACGCUGGCGGCGUGCUUAACACAUGCAAGUCGAACGGAAAGGCCCUGCUUUCGUGGGGUGCUCGAGUGGCGAACGGGUGAGUAACACGUGAGUAACCUGCCCUUGACUUUGGGAUAACUUCAGGAAACUGGGGCUAAUACCGGAUAGGAGCUCCUGCUGCAUGGUGGGGGUUGGAAAGUUUCGGCGGUUGGGGAUGGACUCGCGGCUUAUCAGCUUGUUGGUGGGGUAGUGGCUUACCAAGGCUUUGACGGGUAGCCGGCCUGAGAGGGUGACCGGCCACAUUGGGACUGAGAUACGGCCCAGACUCCUACGGGAGGCAGAAGUGGGGAAUAUUGCACAAUGGGCGGAAGCCGGAUGCAGCAACGCCGCGUGCGGGAUGACGGCCUUCGGGUUGUAAACCGCUUUCGCCUGUGACGAAGCGUGAGUGACGGUAAUGGGUAAAGAAGCACCGGCUAACUACGUG
rnacentral:rRNA from 1 species